UGGAGCUGCUCACAGCUUCAGCAGGAAGGCUGGGCUCCCAGCUUGGAAGAUGGGCAGCAUGCAAGAGAUGCCAGCAAUCAGCGUCAUUGCCAAAGUCAUGCCAUAGGGCAGUCUGCCUAGAUGCCUUUGUCGUUACCACCUCUCUACCAUCAACGGUGUGAUGACAGCUCUGGCUCUCUUCAGAUUCUACUCAUCUCCCUCCCUGCCCCACCAGGAUUUCUGUUGAGAAUCGGAUGAGAUCAAUUUUUAAGCACUCGGCACUCAGGAGACCAAUGAUGACCAAAAGGGCCCCCCCGAUGCACCAGCUCCCACUGAUCAGUUAAGGGCUCCUUGGAAGACUGGGUGAAGGAAUCCAACAUCUCCUGGCCUGGAGGUGGCAGGUGCACUCCUGAUUGAUUAGUGAUGGGACGCCCGGGUGGCUCAGCAGUUUAGCUCCGCCUUCGGCCCAGGGCGUGAUCCUGGGGUCCCGGGAUC